rnacentral:rRNA from 1 species
AUUGAACGCUGGCGGCAUGCUUUACACAUGCAAGUCGAACGGUAACAGGUUAAGCUGACGAGUGGCGAACGGGUGAGUAAUGCAUCGGAACGUGCCCGGUCGUGGGGGAUAACGCAGCGAAAGCUGCGCUAAUACCGCAUACGAUCUGAGGAUGAAAGCGGGGGACCGUAAGGCCUCGCGCGAUCGGAGCGGCCGAUGUCAGAUUAGGUAGUUGGUGGGGUAAAGGCUCACCAAGCCAACGAUCUGUAGCUGGUCUGAGAGGACGACCAGCCACACUGGGACUGAGACACGGCCCAGACUCCUACGGGAGGCAGCAGUGGGGAAUUUUGGACAAUGGGCGAAAGCCUGAUCCAGCAAUGCCGCGUGCAGGAAGAAGGCCUUCGGGUUGUAAACUGCUUUUGUACGGAGCGAAAAGGUCUCCUCUAAUACAGGGGGCUCAUGACGGUACCGUAAGAAUAAGCACCGGCUAACUACGUGCCAGCAGCCGCGGUAACAC